CAUUCGGUGGGGCAAGCGGCGCUCGCUUCUGCGCAAAGUCGAUCAUACCAUCUCGUUCGCGUCAUCGAAUUACUUCUAAUAAAAUAAACAAAGAUAUAUUGGAUCGGUGGUUUCGCGUGCCUUGACAUUUUUCUAUACAUCAACAAUGAUAUAAACAUAUUAAAUGUUGCGAGGACAAACGAAUACAUUUUCCAAGUAUAUUUCUACAUUUUAUUAUUAAUUCAAUACUUCAACUCUUUCUAGACCGCAAUCGACAGCGUGCAAAGAGCAAGUGUCAUAAUCUUGCAAACAAUAUUGAUCAUCUAUAGCGCGAGUUCAACAAACCACGUCGUGCAAAGGUCAUCGGAAGUGGAAUAGCCGGACACCUCGCGGUAGCGCGCAUUUCGCGGGGCGGUUCCGUGUCUGAGGACACUUAUUGAUUUACGGUAGACAAUCGCCUAAGAGACCUCCUAGGCCGCGACACGACAGCGAUUUUUUUCCCAAUGAAGGUAGAAAAUUAAGAAACAAACAGUAUAUGCUUUCGAGCUUUAUAAAAUCUAUGACUCAGACGAGAAUUUCAUUGGGCGUGAAAAUUAAACGAGUGGAUAUAGUAGACACUUUUAAACGUUCCGCAAUUCUUGAGAGCCAUGUUCAAGCAGUUGCAAGUGGCAUAGCGAAUAUAUAAUGCGCAGUAGAAACAAUAGACGCCGCCAAAGUUUUUACGAGCGUCAAGAAUUACUGCUGUCGAUGAUCCAACUCUAAUUUUAUACAUUCGAAAUGCUACCAUAUGUUGGUGCAACUUCAAAGAGAUGUUAAAAUAAAUCAAGGCCAAGGAGCUGCAGUCUUAAGUGAAAGUGAGUACAUCAUACGUCAUGUCACCAUAGCCCACGGUCGUCAUCGUGACAACGGCCCACCAGAACGCGUCCGGAAUGGAUUUGAAGAACGAAUUCUCGGAGCCGGCCUCCGCGAAGUAUACCGCCGACGAGAAUAGCACCACACC